rnacentral:rRNA from 1 species
AUACGUAUGUCGCAAGCGUUAUCCGGAAUUAUUGGGCGUAAAGCGAGUCUAGGCGGCUUGUUAAGUCAGAUGUGAAAAUGCGGGGCUCAACUCCGUAUUGCGUUUGAAACUGGCAGGCUAGAGUACUGGAGGGGUGGGCGGAACUACAAGUGUAGAGGUGAAAUUCGUAGAUAUUUGUAGGAAUGCCGAUAGUGAAGACAGCUCACUGGACAGAUACUGACGCUAAAGCUCGAAAGCGUGGGGAGCGAACAGGAGUAGAAACCCUAGUAGUCC